rnacentral:rRNA from 1 species
CUACGUGCCAGCAGCCGCGGUAAUACGUAGGUGGCAAGCGUUGUCCGGAAUUAUUGGGCGUAAAGCGCGCGCAGGCGGAUCUGCCAGUCUGUCUUAAAAGUUCGGGGCUUAACCCCGUGAUGGGAUGGAAACUGCCAAUCUAGAGUAUCGGAGAGGAAAGCGGAAUUCCCAGUGUAGCGGUGAAAUGCGUAGAUAUUGGGAGGAACACCAGUGGCGAAGGCGGCUUUCUGGACUGUAACUGACGCUGAGGCUCGAAAGCCAGGGGAGCGAACGGGAUUAGAUACCCCGGUAGUCCUGGCCGUAAACGAUGGGUACUAGGUGUAGGAGGUAUCGACCCCUUCUGUGCCGGAGUUAACGCAAUAAGUACCCCGCCUGGGGAGUACGACCGCAAGGUUGAAACUCAAAGGAAUUGACGGGGGCCCGCACAAGCGGUGGAGUAUGUGGUUUAAUUCGACGCAACGCGAAGAACCUUACCAGGUCUUGACAU